AAAUCCGUCGACUUUAUAAGUCA
rnacentral:tRNA from 5 species